GGUUUGCUUACAUGAAGAUAUAAAAGAGAAUGAAAUUAUCAUGUGGAAGUUGUUGCAGAGGAUUUCACUGCGUUAGUUAAGAGAGCCAACUUGGGUCGUGCGGUCUAAAGGGUCUACGGUUAACCAGCCACUGUAAAUUGUAAUUGUGUGAUCAAUAUUUUGCUUUUUUUUUUUU